AAAGGUAAAAAAAAGCCUUGCAGUAGUUGACGAAGAUGUGAGCAGCCGAAACGAACUAAACCGUUUCUUCGAUGGACUUUCGUCUGUUUUAAAAAUGGAAACAACAGAUAGGGAUGAUCCGGUAAACGACGUGACUACACCCUAUGAGGAACUUAGAA